rnacentral:rRNA from 1 species
UUAUCAAAAACAUGUCUUUUUGAAUAUAAUAUAAAGUCUAACCUGCCCACUGAUAUAAAUUGAAGGGCCGCAGUAUUUUGACUGUGCAAAGGUAGCAUAAUCAUUAGUUUUUUAAUUGGGGACUUGUAUGAAUGGUUGGACGAGGUAUUAACUGUCUCUAUUUAAUAAGUAAUUGAAUUUAAUUUUUGAAUUAAAAAGUUUAAAUUUAAUUAAAAGACGAGAAGACCCUAUAGAUCUUAAUAUUUUAUUAUUUUAUAAUUUUUUAUUAUUAUAAUAUUUAUAAAAUUUUAAAUUAUUUUAUUGGGGUGAUAUAAAAAUUUAUAUAACUUUUUAUUUUUUAUAACAUUAAUUUAUGAAUAAAUGAUCCAAUUUUAUUGAUUAUAAGAUUAAGUUACCUUAGGGAUAACAGCGUAAUUUUAUUGGAGAGUUCAUAUCGAUAAUAAAGAUUGCGACCUCGAUGUUGAAUUAAGAGUAAUUUUAGGUGUAGAAGUUUAAAAUUUUAGUCUGUUCGACUAUUAAAUUCUUCAUGAUCUGAGUUCAAACCG